AUUGAACGCUGGCGGCAUGCCUUACACAUGCAAGUCGAACGGCAGCACGGGUGCUUGCACCUGGUGGCGAGUGGCGAACGGGUGAGUAAUACAUCGGAACGUACCUUAUCGUGGGGGAUAACGCAGCGAAAGCUGUGCUAAUACCGCAUACGCCCUGAGGGGGAAAGCGGGGGAUCGAAAGACCUCGCGCGAUUAGAGCGGCCGAUGCCUGAUUAGCUUGUUGGUGGGGUAAAAGCCCACCAAGGCGACGAUCAGUAGCUGGUCUGAGAGGACGGUCAGCGCCACUGGGACCGAGACACGGCGCAGUCUCCUACGGGAGGCAGCAGUGGGGAAUUUUGGACAAUGGGGGCAACCCUGAUCCAGCAAUGCCGCGUGAGUGAAGAAGGCCUUCGGGUUGUAAAGCUCUUUUGUCAGGGAAGAAACACCGGCUCUAACACAGUCCGGGAAUGACGGUACCUGAAGAAUAAGCACCGGCUAACUACGUGCCAGCCGCCGCUGUAA
rnacentral:rRNA from 1 species